GACGAACGCUGGCGGCGUGCCUAAUACAUGCAAGUGGGACGCAAGGGAACACACUGUGCUUGCACACCGUGUUUUCUUGAGUCGCGAACGGGUGAGUAACGCGUAGGUAACCUGCCUAUUAGCACGGGGAUAACUAUUGGAAACGAUAGCUAAUACCGCAUAAUAUUAAUUAUUGCAUGAUAAUUGAUUGAAAGAUGCAAGCGCAUCACUAGUAGAUGGACCUGCGUUGUAUUAGCUAGUUGGUAAGGUAAGAGCUUACCAAGGCGACGAUACAUAGCCGACCUGAGAGGGUGAUCGGCCACACUGGGACUGAGACACGGCCCAGACUCCUACGGGAGGCAGCAGUAGGGAAUCUUCGGCAAUGGACGAAAGUCUGACCGAGCAACGCCGCGUGAGUGAAGGAGGUUUUCGGAUCGUAAAGCUCUGUUGUAAGUCAAGAACGUGUGUGAGAGUGGAAAGUUCACACAGUGACGGAGCUACCAGAA
rnacentral:rRNA from 1 species